rnacentral:rRNA from 1 species
CCUACGGGGGGCUGCAGUGAGGAAUAUUGGUCAAUGGACGAGAGUCUGAACCAGCCAAGUCGCGUGAAGGAUGACUGCCCUAUGGGUUGUAAACUUCUUUUAUAUGGGAAUAAAAUGUUCCACGUGUGGGAGUUUGUAUGUACCAUAUGAAUAAGGAUCGGCUAACUCCGUGCCAGCAGCCGCGGUAAUACGGAGGAUCCGAGCGUUAUCCGGAUUUAUUGGGUUUAAAGGGUGCGUAGGUGGAUUGUUAAGUCAGUUGUGAAAGUUUGCGGCUCAACCGUAAAAUUGCAGUUGAAACUGGCAGUCUUGAGUACGGGAGAGGUAGGCGGAAUUCGCGGUGUAGCGGUGAAAUGCUUAGAUAUCACGAAGAACUCCGAUUGCGAAGGCAGCUCACUGGACUGACACUGACACUGAGGCUCGAAAGUGUGGGUAUCAAACAGGAUUAGAUACCCGGGUAGUC